GCCCAGAGAAGAAGCUAGGGUGCCAUGG
rnacentral:piRNA from 1 species